rnacentral:lncRNA from 1 species
CCACUUAUCAUACUCCUCUCUACAAAGCUCCGCCAAAUGCUUCCCCGUAGCCACCCCCACCCGAGCCGACAACAAUUGGAUCAACAACCCCAUUACCCCUGAAGAUCCCCUUCCAAAUUCCCCGGAUCUAAAAAGGCAAUACUCAUCAAAAACCCUGGACCUGUAAACAACCAUAGUUUCCUCCAUGAAAAGGGUGGUGUGGAGGUGUAAUCGGAUGAGUCAUCAAGGCCGUCGAUUAUGAUCUUUUCGUUGGAUUCGUAGGCGACUUCUUCGUCGGAGAUAAGGGGAGUGUUGUCGGUGGAUAAGGGGAGGAGGUGUUUGUGAUCUGAUUCUGGUUGGUGGUCUUCGUUUGAAGGUUUUGAAUCGUUUGAUUGAGGUGGAGAUGAAGCGUUCAUUGUGGUCGCCGGCGGGAAGAGGUGAUCUCCGGCGACGGAAAGAUCGGAUGUUAGCGUUUGUUGUUUGUAGGGUGCUCCGUCGGCAAUUGGU